rnacentral:rRNA from 1 species
UACAGAGGGGGCAAGCGUUGUUCGGAAUUACUGGGCGUAAAGGGCGCGUAGGCGGCCGCCUAAGUCGGACGUGAAAUCCCUCGGCUCAACCGGGGAACUGCGUCCGAUACUGGGUGGCUUGAAUCCGGGAGAGGGAUGUGGAAUUCCAGGUGUAGCGGUGAAAUGCGUAGAUAUCUGGAGGAACACCGGUGGCGAAGGCGGCAUCCUGGACCGGCAUUGACGCUGAGGCGCGAAAGCCAGGGGAGCAAAC